rfam:Octopus bimaculoides Scaffold7067_contig_53, whole genome shotgun sequence.
GUUAGCACGCCGUAUCACUUUGAAAACAUCGGUUCUCGUCCGAUCACCGAAGUUAAGCAAAGUUGAGCCUAGUUAGUACUUAGAUGGGUGACCGCUUGGGAAACCUAGGUGCUGUAAACA